ensembl:miRNA
CUGAACUCCGACUCCCGUCAGCCCCCGAGAAAACCGCACCGGGUCUACGCGGGUGCUGUCGGGACUUGUAGUUUAGCU